CUUUUUUUUUUUUUUCCUUUUCUUUUUUAAAGUUUUAUUGAAGUUUAGUUGAUUUGCAAAGUUGUGAUCAUUUGCUGCUGUACCACUAAGUGACUUGUUUAUACAUUUACACACAUCUGUUCUCUUUCAGAUUAUUCUUUUUUUUUCUUUCAUGUUUGGCUGCCCCAUGGCACAUGGAGCUCCCAGGCCAGGGAUCAGAUCUGAGCUACAGUCAUGACCUAAGCAACACUGGAUCCUUAACCCACUGCACCGGGCCAGGGAUCAAACCCAUGUCCCAGUGCGCCCAAUACACUGCCAAUCCCCUUGUGCCACAGCGGGAGAUCCUCACAUUCUUUUCCCACAUAGAUUAUCACAGAAUAUGGGGCAGAGUUCCCCAUAGCAGGUCCCUUCUGGUCAAUCAUUCCAUAUCCCUCAGUGUGCAUUUGCCAACCCCAGACCCCGGUCCACCCCUCCCCACCCUACCUGUCCCCUUUGGUAACCAUAAGGAUUGUUUUAAUGUGGUGGUUUUUGUUUGUUUGUUUUUGGUCUUUUUGCCUUUUCUAGGGCCGGUCCUGUGGCAUAUGGAGGUUCCCAGACGAGGGAUCUAAUCAGAGCUGUAGUCGCUGGCCUACCCCACAGCCACAGCAAUGCCAGAUCCAAGCUGUGUCUGUGACCUACACCACAGCUCAUGGCAAUGCCGGAUCCUUAACCCAUGGAGCAAGGCCAGGGAUCGAACCUGCAACCUCAUGGUUCCUAGUCGGAUUUGUUAACCACUGAGCCAUGACGGGAACGCCAGGAUUUUUUUAGCAUCGUGUCAGCAGGGAAGCCAGGAGACGAAGUAUGUCACAGAACUAGGAGGGGGCAGACUUCUCUGUUCUGUGUGGAGCCCCACCCUGCUCUGGUGACCAGAAGACCAGCAGCUCAGGGAGCUGAGAACCCAGCCCACUUGGCCCAGACACUGGCAUCACCACCCCCAAGGGGUCACGGCCCACAAGGCAGCCUGUGGGCACCUCCAGGGGCUUCCUGGGUGGAGAUCAGUGACGGCAGAGGAGCAUAGAGCAGCCUCCACCUGGGAUUGCAGCUCUUGGUGGGUUAGUUUCUGAGCCCCCAUGAGACAUCCCAGGGACCCUCAAAUUGAGGGAGAGGAUGGCAAGGGACCUCAAUUCAUUCAGGUGCAGGAGGGACUCAGGGCUGGCAAGAUCCGAGUUUACCUGCUAGAUGCCCUCUUUAUCUGCCCAUAGCAGGUGAGACCCAGGGACAUUCAGAGACUGUGGCCACCCAGUCCAGGCUGCCCAGUUCCCACUCCCCCCCACAUUCUCAUACCUGCUCCCCAUCAGGUGGCCUAACACAGAGUCCGUCGCCCAUACAGGUUGAAAGGUCCCAGAGCCCCAGUGUCGCCAACCACAUGGGCAGCCCUCUGCCAUGGGCACGACAGGGGCUGGGUGACCUCUCUCCACCCCAGACUCCACCUACCAGAUCUGUACCCAAGGCAGGGAGGAGAGCAUGGCAGCUUAUCUUUUUUCCUUCCAACAAAUCAAUUGUCUACCACAGCCAAGCAGUGUGCAGAUUUCAGUGGGUCCAGACCUUGGAGAUAGAAAAACAAAGUACCCAGGUUUUUCUGGUCUCACCCAUGCCCACCCACCAUCCUUGCUGGGGCUCCCUGGGAGCCUCGCUGUGUCCUCAAAGCCCCAUGCUGCCCGUGUCCCCUGGCAUAAACACCCCAUGGCAGCCUUGCCGCUGUCUCUCUGUCUCUACUCCUCCCCGCAUCUCCUUCUCUCCCUUCCCCUCCUUCUCCUCCUGCUGCUUGUCAUCUCUGAGCCCAGGGAAAUGUCAUCUCAGAACUGUUGCCUUCCUUUAAUCAGGACCUAAUUCCUUAUCACAGGGCUCAGAGACGGAGGUUUCCGAGCAGACAAGGAAGACACGGGUGGUGAUUAGUGCCUCCUUGCUCUCCAGAAAAGAGGACUUGUUCCAGGAUAUGGGGUUUUUUUAAGGAGCUUUACCAGCGGAGAUGCUGGGAGGCCGGCCCCAGAUUAGUGGAUAUCCCAGCAGGCAAAGCAAGACGUUGGAGGGAGGGAGGGUGGCCCAGCUGAGAGACGAGAGAGAGAGGGUGAGCACCGAGGCAGGGUUAAGAAGACCCCACAACGGGGACAGGAGCCAGCAUGGCCCCCACUACCAGGAUGCCUGGAGGUGGGGGGGGCCCUUCUGGGAUGUGUUGUCCUUCCGUCCACCCACAUUCCCUAAGCAACCCUCCCUGGAUUAGAUAGCUCUAUCUCAGAGAUGACGGACGGGCAGACACUCAGUGGUUGGAGAAGGGGGCACUUUGAGGGCACAUGCCCAUGUGGAUGGAGGAGCAGAUCAGGGUAUCUCAGAGGGACAUCCAUACGAGGUUGUUGCAGUGGUCGAUGGGAGGGAAGAGUAGCCUCAACCCAGCCGGCAUCCAGGGAGGUAGAGGAGGAGACAGACACCAUCAAUGGGCAGCGGGUGGAGUAAACGGGACAGGGUGACUGCAGCGGAGGGAGAGAAGGAGCAGAGAACUGAGCACCUACUGUGUGCUCAUAGCUCCUCCUCAGCUGAACUCCACAACCCCCUCUGCAGUCAGCUGGGGCAUCGCCAGUUCCCAGUUGGACAAGAGACAUGUUCAAGGUCACUAGAAACUGUGAGGCCGUGUCAUGUUCAAACCCAGAAGAGGUCAAGGGACAUUUCAGAGGCAGAGAUGAUAGAAGUGGAAGAGGUGGGAGCAGAGACAUUAGCAUUUUCCAUCUCUCCCCUCUCCUGCACAUUCCAGGCCAGCUCCUCUUUCCCAGCCCCCAGUCCCCCAACAUGCUUCACCCUACUUCCGAACCCCAACAGCUGACCCACAAUUCUGGCCCAUCAGCCCCUCCCUAGUGGGUGGCCUCGUCUCUGGGCCUCAGUUUCUUCCUCUGCCAACUGGGUUAAUGCCCCAUCCCUCCCACACUGUCGGGGCUGCAAUGAAAUCGUGGCAGUAAAGGAAGCCAAGGUCAUGGGGACCAGCAUCUCUGCCUGACUCUCUCCCAGGACAAAUUUGAGAUGCUUUACUCCAUUAGGUGACUUUGAGUUUUACCAAAUUUGCAGAGUUCCGAAUUGGUAAAAUUGGCACAGAGUAGGGCCUCAGUGAAUGUUUGCCACAGGAACUAAUCAGUCAGUUCACAGCUUUGAAUUCUGGCUCUGACGCUGAUGGGCUGUGUGAUCUCCUCCAGGGCCUCCCAUCCCAGGCCUCAGUCCCCAGCCUUGGAAUCUCCAUGGUGGAGUCUUUUGUUCCCUGGGCUCUAAAUAAACACAGUAAGGCAGCCCUGGCUGCAGGAACACGGGGUGUCUGGAGGCAGAAAUAGGAAGACAGACGAUCUGGAUGAAGCCAGCUGCCCC
rnacentral:lncRNA from 1 species